AGCAGCCGCGGUAAUUCCAGCUCCAAUAGCGUAUAUUAAAGUUGUUGCAGUUAAAAAGCUCGUAGUUGAAUUUCGGAAUUUUUUAUCGGUUGAAUCAACAGGUUCGUACUGAUUUUAAGAAUUUCUACCUUCUGGAGAACCUUAAUGUCAUUAAUUUGGUGUUUUGGGAAACCAGGACUGUUACCUUGAAAAAAUUAGAGUGUUUAAAGCAGGCUUAUGUCUGAAUAUAUUAGCAUGGAAUAAUGAAAUAGGACGGCAUGGUUCUAUUUUGUUGGUUUCUAGGAUCACCGUAAUGAUUAAUAGGGAUAGUUGGGGGCAUUAGUAUUCAAUUGUCAGAGGUGAAAUUCUUGGAUUUAUUGAAGACUAACUUCUGCGAAAGCAUUUGCCAAGGAUGUUUUC
rnacentral:rRNA from 1 species